AUCUCGCGCUGAUAUAUAUGACUGCCGCUAUAUCUUCCGCGUAUCCCACGAGAUAUGUGUCUUCUGGCAUUUCUAUGCUCAGGAGCUCGUCGUAACUCAGAUUCCAGCGAUCGGGAUCGAUAAUAGAUCCUUGGGCUGCGCCAGACGUUACCGCUUUAGUUUUCUGGUUGCUCCCUUCGAGAUCCGUUCGUACUGCUCGCUGAUGAUGACUAAAGGGCAUCUCUUUAAACCUGGCAGGUGAUCAGUGUGGUCGUGUGUCGCGUCUACGCAAUGGAUGCGCUUGGUGCCGUAAUCUCCGUCAGUAUCUAUUCCUCUGGGUUGAUGAUCAGUUUCUGGAUUGUUGUUUCCAUUUCCACCUUGGCUGUUAAGGAGUCGAGAUCUCGUAUCUGUGGCGCUCGCCUUUCGAGCUGUGUCGCGAUUGAUGCCGUGUCUAGCACAGUGCUUCUCAGUUGAUGUACUAACUCUGACGUAACUUUUUCUUCCCUUCCGAACUAGGAAAUUAUGGCUCUGACUCAUCGGUCAUUUCUUAAUAACUUGCCGGCCUUCAUCUUUUUUCUCUGAGAGUCCGUUUUUGUUCUCGCUGAGUAAUUUUGCCAAUUUUUGGGUUUCUUCAAGUUUGUCGCUGUAGCUGUGGGAAUAUCUGCUGUGGGCUGGGUGUCAGUGUUCUUGCAAAGGUUUAAGAUUGCCCUUUCGUCUUUUGUUGCUUUCACGUCUGCAGUUCAGCCAUUUCGGAUACUCCAAAUUUGACUUCUCAUUUUUUGAUCAGAUCGAAGAAAUUCUGGUCGUGAAUGAUAACAAACGGGCUAACGACGAGGAGUUCUCAAAAUAGAUUGAGUCGGCCAAAUGACAUCGAUCUGGGUAGUCAAGUUUGCGCAGUCUUACGAAAACGACCUGGAACUUUGGAUUGCCAUCGUAGAGUCACGAAAGAUAACCUCAAAUAAAUCGAACUACUUGCAUACAGUUGCAAACUUAUCAAGCUAAGUUUCAUUGCAAGUAAGGGAAUUGCUUCUAGAUUGCAUCAUUUCUGCAAAUUGAAGUUACAACUCAUACCAAUUUACUCCAUUCAAUUGGCAGCCGGUUCUACGUUACCGGAAUGACUCGGGUUUUUCCCGACCAAGGGCUGCCGCUCCAGUAAACUAGCCCUGUCUAGUGACCAGUAUAUCACCCCACCCCUUACGUCACAGGCGCAACUCCUCGCAGCAACUUUGCUCCAAAUACUUCUCCUCAGGGCUGGAGUUGAAUCCAACCCUGGGCCAGAAGUAUUCUAUUGCUGCGUCUGCUAUAAACGGCUCCACCCGAACUCCACCUCGGUUGGGUGCAACAAGUGCAACGGGUGGAGCCAUCUCAAGACCUGUUCAGGCCUUAAGACACAUAGGGAGUGGACCACACGGUAUGUGGCCUCGUGUUGCUCCCGCCAGCAGGCGUCUAAUGCCUCCACGGCUACUCCCCCCCCUGAUAGGCCGGCACUACCAACCGCCACCACAACUAGUACCUCUACGGUAAGGAGCCUAUCGGAGCAACACUACUCCCCUGACUUAACCCAUCCCCUUCCCUCCUGCUCCAACCCCAGUGCGGGGGCAAACCAGCAGCUCUUGGUCCCCCGCACAGUCUGUUCCGUGUGCCAGGCCGUAAUACCUCGGAAUCUGGCAUCAGUCAAGUGCAAUUCUUGACAUCACCCAGAAGCUUUAAGCUUCUUCAACUUAACUGUAACGGACUCACGAGCAAGGUCAACGAGAUAGUUGACUUCAUGAGCCGGCACAGUAUCAAGAUAGCUGCGGUCCAGGAAACCAAGCUGCACGCUAGGUCCUCUCUGAUCACCAGGGAUGGCUAUAACGUGCACAGACAUGAUCGCGAGCGAGACAUUGGUGGUAGCCUAGCGUUUAUAGUCCAUCACACAGUGCAGUAUCGUCUCAUUGAUGAAGGGAUCGACCGCAGGGACAGCACCUUAGAAUGUCCAGGCAUAGCUGCCCGGACAGGCGAUUCCGAGCUCGAAAUUUUUAACAUAUAUAUACCCAUGUCACCUGCUGCCCGGCAGGAUAUCACCCUGAUAUAGGUGCGCUCAUCAGAGGUGAAAACCGAUUGGUUGUAGGUGACUUUAAUGCGCAUCACGAUCUUUGGCAUUCAGCAAUUGGUAGAGCAAAUAGACGAUUCGACAUUCAGCACUGUGAGCGACAAAGCCCCCACCAGGGUAGUGGGCAAUUGUAGCAACUCGCCUGACCUAACAAUAGCUAGCGCGGGUCUGAUAAAUAGCAUAACGUGGCGACCUAUGCUAUCGCUUGCAUCCGACCACUUGCCCAUUAUCGUCUCGAUUAAGAGACCUGCCGACUUUGUUUCUGCGAACCAGUCGAAAACUUCCGCCAGGGCUGAAGAGGUGGUCCGCAAACUACCUGAGCGGUCGGCACUCGUCAGUGAUUUUUCGAGAUCAAACAUGAAAGCAGAGGAAGAUAAACCAAGGUGUACCGCAGGGUGGUGUACUUUCUCCCUUGCUGUUCAACUUCUACAUCUCGAAGCUCCCCCAUCCACCAGCGGGAGUUUCCCUGGUCUCAUACGCUGACGACUGUACGAUAAUGGCGUCGGGCAAUGACAUCGAUGGCCUCUGUUCCAAAGUGAACAACUACCUCACCGACCUUUCUCGCUUUUUCACUGCGAGGAAUCUCCAACUUUCCCCCACUAAAUCCACGGCGACCCUCUUCACCACCUGGACAAAGGAGGUCAAACUGUCCCGUAAGGUAAAAGUCGAUGACACACCAAUACCGAAAGUAAACAACCCUAAAAUUUUGGGUGUAACCUUUGACAGUUUGCUCUCAUUCUCAGCGCACACAACCGCAAUCGGCACUAAAGUCUAAAACCGCAACAAGGUCCUCAAAUCGCUGGUCGGCAGCACUUGGGGCAAAGACAAAGGACUGUUGCUAUCGACAUUUGAGGCAAUUGGUCGGCCGGUUCUAAACUAUGCAGACAUGCCAAAAUACUGCCAUUCGGACAUCGAGCGGCUGCCUCCUGAUGUCCCCGGUUCAACACUUUACCGCAGGUUUCACCCGAGCAGAUACCUGCUUGAGCCUAAGCCGCCUCCCAGGCACGUCAGGAGACAUCUCUUAGACUACGCUGACGAAUUCCAGGACAAAACUGACCGAAAUCUACUGGACCUGACAGUAUUUAGACAGUCAAUAAACGACAUUCACCGGGAGACCGUCACCACCUUCUUAAGUUUGAAUGCCGUAAUCGGAGUCCAACCACCAUCUACAGCAGAUGAAGAGCUCUAGCUUUCUCGUGAGACACAUGUAACACUGGCACAAUUACGUUCUGGAUAUUGUAGCAGGUUAAACUCCUACCUACCCAGAAUCGACCCCGACAUACCAAACAUAUUUCCGGCAUUUGAAGGCACCCCGCACAACACUAACCACCUUUUCCCAUGCCCCCUAAAACCGACUCAUCUAACACCCCUCUCCCUCUGGACCCAUCCCGUCGAAACAGUAUGUUGCCUGGGCCUACCUCUAGAUGAGCUAGACGACGAUGACAGGUGAUAUAAUCGACACUGGCGUGGCUACGACUACUGUUAACAAACAAACAAACAAACCAAUUUACUCCGAAUCUGUGACUAUUCAAUUUGAGAACUAGUUUUCAAAUGAGCUGCUAGGUUAUAUGAAGCCUUCUCCGGCACUACACAAAAUAACCAUAGCGUAUUGUUCUGCAACAAUAAUCGGUGCAAACCUUUUAAAUGAAUAUAGUUUGCUUGUAGACAUCAAGCGUAAAUGGGUUAUCGGUACAUUGACUAGACCGUAUUCAAAUGAUUAAGGAAUUACUUGACGAUAAACCGAGUUAAAGAACGGGCUAAUGUAACGCACUCCAUCGUAACUACGGUACCACCGGUCAUACCGAAAUCAAAAGCUAAAAAUUGCUAAAAAGUAAUUCAACGAACUGCUCCGACUUGGUAUCUGCAGGCUUUCAAGGUCCAACUCCACCUUGCUGUUGCAUAUAGGACCAAUGGGGUGACUAUAAGCGGUUGAAUUUACGCACAAAACCCGUUAAAUAUCCGAUUUUUUACCUGGAAGAUUUUGCAAAUAUCCUGCGCGGAAAGCGCAUUUUCAGCCGCAUCGACUUACGCAAAGCUUUCCCCAGCGGGUCGGGGAAAAGAAUAAACCCGAGGUAAGGCAUGCCUGUUGUAAGAGGUCUCAAAUAUUGCGAGAAAUUCCAGCGGCAGUGAUGUAUAGCUCAUCAGGAAAGCGACCAGUAAGAUCUUGACUACGGUGUACUGAAAAAGCAACCUUCACAAGAAGGAGCCUACUGUCAGGAUCCCGCCAACAAAGAACGCACCCUUCUGAUGCAGCUGGAAGCGGACCAGUCCGCACUGCGUUCAAACAUGUCAAAGCUGAUAGCCCCGCAAACGGCAGCGGGCAUAUUAACAUCAGCAUUCAGAGGAAAUGAUGCCUCCAGUACCAAUACUAGAGGGCUACAACCAGCGCAGUAUACGCCAACCAGCCAUCUUGCAAUUGCAGAACGGCUCGCCACUCCCACCCCAGCAAACGGCAAUACGGAAACGAUCACCACAAUUGCGUCCAUCGACGCUGAGCUGAUUAAAAACAUGAGGAUGAUAAAGUGUAUGCAGAAGUUGUUCAGACAUCAAACGAACACCAGCUACGAAGUCAAAGCUGGGGAAUCCAAAAUGGCUGAACUGCUGGAUGUAACGCUGAACUACAGACGUUUGUGAAAGGCAACAGAAGACGUAAGAGCGCUCUCGAAUCCCCGUAAGGACACUGUUACCCAGCCAACAGCAGCCACACCUCUGCAAUGACAAACCCGAAGCUAACGGUAACCUUUUCGGCUACUCUUGAGAGCUGUAAGGAAGCCAGGGAAAUGAAGCCAAAGUGAGCCGCUGAGACAUAGGAUAAGGGCUGGUAGACAGAUUCUAAGAGGGGCAACCAUAAGAAGCCGAAGGAUAAGCGGUCAAGGCGGAGGUAGAAACAGCAGUCCGGAAACUGCUCACCAACCAAGAGGAACAGAUACAGACGAGGAUCAUGGCGCCGAACCAACAAGCUCCAAUCGAAGAGUCCCAUAUUUCAAAAAUGGUAUGGUUUUAUGUCAUUCGCACAUUUCGCGGCACCGACGAAGUGCUACGAGGGCUCCACUUUGCUUUUGCGUCCAUAGACGAUAGUUUUAUCUCAUCUGAAUCUUACCACUGUUCAAUCAAUGUUCAAUAAGUUUUGCGGUUCAAUAAGAGAUGGCAUUGCUACUAGCCUAAUUUUUUUUUUUUUUGUUAUGUGGGUCCGCUUUUUAUAUGAACGUAUAUGAAGUUUCAUUUCAAUCUGUCAGUUCACUCUUUUAUUACAAGCCAUUUAGUUCCGUCGUGUCACAGUAUUUUCUACAAUGGAAAAAAUCAAGUAUCGUGCAUUGGUUGAAUUUUUUAUUUUUGGAAGGUUUAAACGCAAAGGUAAUUUAUGAACAAAUGUUGAAAGGGUAUGAGGGUUUUUCGCCAUCAAUUAGUACAGUAGAAAAAUGGGUUGCUGAAUUUAAACUUGAUCGUACAAGCCUUGGAAACGAUCCACGGUAAGACAUCCAAAAACAGCUACAACACCAGAAAACGUAGAAAAAAUACAGGAAAUCGUAUUGGAAAAUCGGCAAGUGACUAAAAAAGAUUUAGUGGUGCUCUAGGCACCUCAUUAGGCAGUGCAAGCAAUAUUUUGACUGAAGUAUUGGGUUUCAGAAAGCUGUGUGCGCAAUGGGUGCCGCACUCGUUAACAAUGGAACAAAAAAGGAUAAAGUGAAUUUUGUGCGUCAAUUAAUCACAAUGGAUGAGACUUGAGUCUAUCACCAUGAUCCUAAAUCAAAACAAGAGUCCAGAAACCGGCCAAGAACGUGUUAGCAUCAGUUUUUUUUUUUGAUGCGUAGGGGGUUUUGUUUGUAGAUUACUUGCAAACUGGUAAAACAAUAAAUUCUGAAUGUUAUUGUAACUUUUUAGACCAACUGAAGGAAAGAAAGAAAAAAGUAGUUUUCAUCUGGACAAUGCACCGUGUCACAAGAACAUUUUAAAAAUGACUAAAAUCCAUGAAUUAAAGUUCGAAUUGUCGGUGGAACAAGUGUAUUGAUGAUCAGGGAGACUAUACUGAAGAAUAAAAUAAAAUGCAUUUCAAACCAAAAAAUUGUGUUUUUCUUAUCGAACCGCAAAACUAAUUGGACAACCUAGUCCAAACAGCACGCCGAAUACAUUCGAUUGUGUGAUUAAAGCUGGUAAAUGUAUAUUUGCUGCUAGAAAAAUAACGUUGUAUCAUGGAGUUAAGCUGCUACCUGCAAGGGUGGAAAAAAUAUUGUGUUUCAAAGAACGAUUAUCACGAAAAAACGUUCGUGAAAGGUUUAAAGGUCGCUUUACUUACUAAAUUUAGCAAAAAAAUUAUUCCACGUCGUUCAUUGCAAUUAAGUGAUAUCAUUAUUUCAGUGAAUUCAUUACUACCAUUCGCCACUUCAUGAAAGAACAACAUAGUUCCGGGUUUGUUCUCAAGAAUCAAGUAUUUUUUGCGUAAUUGCACACGAUCACUAAUCGAACGUUACGACACCAAAUGUGAUCGCUUUGAACACAUCAACAUCGGUUUUGUGGAGCCAUCAAAAGCCGAAUCAUUUAUAUAUUUACUUACAUGCAUUGGUAGUACAAACCGCUGGGCUGAGACGUUUCCCAUUGCGAACAUUUCUGCUAAAAUGGUUGCGAUCACUUUGUUAUCAGGGUGGAUCUCUCGCGUUGGCGUACCUAAGUAUAUUACAACCGACCAAGGCCGUCUAUUCGAAUCUUUUUUAUUACAUGAAAUAAAUAAGUUGCAAAAGCUAAUAAUUCAACGCUGGCAUGGUUAUCUGAAAGCAGCAUUAAAAGCGAAGUGGAAAGACUGUGAUUGGAUAUGCGGUUCACUAGACAGGGCUAGUAUACUGGGGCGGCAGCCCUUGGUCGGGAAAAACCCGAGUCAUUCCCGUACGUAGAACCGGCUGCCAUGGGAAUGGAAACGAAGAGCUCCAGCUACCCCUUGAGACUCGUGUAACACUUGCACAACUACGUUCUGGAUACUGUAGCAGGUUAAACUCCUACAUAUCCAGAAUCGACCCCGAAAUACCAAACACAUGUCUGGCAUGUGAAGGUACCCCGCACGACACUAACCACCUCUUCACAUGCCCCCUCAAACCGACUCAUCUAACCCCCCUCUCCCUCUGCACCCAACUUGUCUAAACAGCAUGUUUCCUGGGCCUACCCCUAGAAGAGCUAGACGAAGAUGACCGAUGAUAUGCCUACACUGACAGGGCUACCUAUGCUGUUAAAACAACAACAACAACAACAACUGUGAUUGGAUCACUGAAUUAUCUCUUAUUUUACUUGGGUUACGAUCAGUUGUCAAAGACGAUCUUAAUGCAUCUCCGGCUGAACUUGUUAUUGAAAAAAAAAAACACACACUAUCAAGGCUGUUUUUCCGGUUCUGAAAGUAUACGAUACGGUACGAGCUGGUGGUAGGUACUAGCCGUUCCAAAUAUUAACUAUAAUAAUAUUCUACUUCUACCCGAAAAACUGUUAAUAGCGUUGCCGGCAUUGUUUAUGAAAGGUUUUAUCCCAAUUUUUUUGUAUGCUUACAUAAAAACUUCUAAAAAAAAACUACCACAAAAGUGGGAGGAGGUGGCAUACCAAAAUAGAAGUAUUUUAAUGACUUUUCUAAUGAUGUACAAUACUUAGUUUUGUAAAUGAUCAAGUAAUUUUUGAGGUAUUAAAAUUUCAUGAAUAUCUUUUCUAUUUUUAAUUUUCGCAAAAAAGAAAAAUUAAAACCGUUGUAAUCAGCAUGUUGAGUUCUAACGAACCUCAUGUUUGGUUGUUUCCUAUCGAACGGCACUUGGUAAAAAAUAAUUUGGAACCGAUUAUCGUGGGCAAUUCCCACUUGCAUAACAGCAAAUACUCUUGAUUCAUGAUGACAACUCCUUGGGCUCCACUGCUGCUACAAUAACAACAACAGCAAAAUUGUGUUUCAAUGUUUGCAGCACUUUAAGUGAAUGUAGUCUAAAUUAAUUAAAUACCUCUCAUCGGUUUUGCUAUAAGAGCUCCGUACGAUAAAAGUGUUUUUACAAUAAGAAGAAAUAUUGAUAAAAUAAUGGGUGAUAAGCAGGAAAACUGGUGCAACUUAUUUUUGUCCAAAAAUGCGAUACACAUAUAUGUUAUAUUUAUGAUUUUCCAAAAUAGUUAAUUAUAAUCUUUUUUUAUUUCUUUUGAAUAGUAACAUUUGUACAUGCAUCCUUACGCUUGAGAAAUAUUAAAAACAAAGUUGUGAAUACAAUGGAAAGCUUCAAUCCUUCAUCACCGAUGGGAGUAUUUUUAGACGCAUUAAAUAUUACUAUGGAUAGUUAA